rnacentral:misc_RNA from 1 species
AAGAGUUGCAAAACUCCCUUCAUACCAUCGCGAACGCUACCCGAUUCCCGUUGCUUCGGCGGGGGUCCCCUCUCCAAAACGGGAGCCCCCGCCGGAGGAACGCAGCCAUAUACUCUUGUAUUUGCUGGCCUCUCUGAGUACGAUUUAUGCGAAUAAGUCA